CGGGUGAGUAACGCGUGGGUAACUUGCCUCAUACACAUGGAUAACAUACCGAAAGGUAUGCUAAUACAAGAUAACAUAAGAGAUUCGCAUGUUUCUCUUAUCAAAGCUCUGGCGGUAUGAGAUGGACCCGCGUCUGAUUAGCUAGUUGGUAAGGUAAUGGCUUACCAAGGCGACGAUCAGUAGCCGACCUGAGAGGGUGAUCGGCCACAUUGGAACUGAGACACGGUCCAAACUCCUACGGGAGGCAGCAGUGGGGAAUAUUGCACAAUGGGCGCAAGCCUGAUGCAGCGACGCCGCGUGAGGGAUGGAGGCCUUCGGGUUGUAAAGCUCUGUCUUCAGGGACGAUAAUGACGGUACCUUUCGAAUAAGCACCGGCUAACUACGUGCCAGCAGCCGCGGUAAUACGUAGGGUGCAAGCGUUAUCCGGAAUUAUUGGGCGUAAAGCGAGCGCAGGCGGUUUCUUAAGUCUGAUGUGAAAGCCCCCGGCUUAACUUCAGUAAGCCAUAGAAACCGGGCAGCUAGAGUGCAGGAGAGGAAAGUGGAAUUCCUAGUGUAGCGGUGAAAUGCGUAGAGAUUAGGAAGAAUACCAGUGGCGAAGGCGCCUUUCUGGACUGUAACUGACGCUGAGGCUCGAAAGCGUGGGGAGCGAACAGGAUUAGAUACCCUGGUAGUCCAUGCCGUAAACGAUGAAUACUAGGUGUGGGGGUUUCAACACCUCCGUGCCGCCGCUAACGCAUUAAGUAUUCCGCCUGGGGAGUACGGUCGCAAGAUUAAAACUCAAAGGAAUUGACGGGGACCCGCACAAGUAGCGGAGCAUGUGGUUUAAUUCGAAGCAACGCGAAGAACCUUACCUACACUUGACAUCCCUUGCAUUACUCUUAAUCGAGGAAAUCCCUUCGGGGACAAGGUGACAGGUGGUGCAUGGUUGUCGUCAGCUCGUGCCGUGAGAUGUUGGGUUAAGUCCCGCAACGAGCGCAACCCUUGUCGUUAGUUACUACCAUUAAGUUGAGGACUCUAGCGAGACUGCCUGGGUUAACCAGGAGGAAGGUGGGGAUGACGUCAAAUCAUCAUGCCCCUUAUGUGUAGGGCUACACACGUGCUACAAUGGCUGGUACAGAGAGAUGCAAUACCGCGAGGUGGAGCCAAACUUAAAAACCAGUCUCAGUUCGGAUUGUAGGCUGAAACUCGCCUACAUGAAGCUGGAGUUGCUAGUAAUCGCGAAUCAGCAUGUCGCGGUGAAUACGUUCCCGGGCCUUGCACUCACCGCCCGUCA
rnacentral:rRNA from 1 species